rnacentral:rRNA from 1 species
UACGAGAGGCCCAAACGUUUAUUCGGAAUUACUGGGCUUAAAGAGUCCGUAGGCGGCGCGGAAAGUGGGGUGUGAAAGCCCUCGGCUCAACCGAGGAAUUGCGCUCCAAACUACCGUGCUUGAGGAACCUAGAGGUGAGCAGAACUGAUGGUGGAGCGGUGAAAUGCGUUGAUAUCAUCAGGAAUACCGGAGGCGAAGGCGGCUCACUGGGGGUUUUCUGACGCUGAGGGACGAAAGCCAGGGUAGCGAACGGGG